UGGCCUGUGGCAAGGAUUAAAAUGGCUAUUAGCACGGGCCGUAUCCACUAUGGUUUCGUGUUAGCAAAUAUCGGUACGAUACAGUUCCCAUGUCGAUAGCACAACUCAAAAUUCUCUAUUCUGAAAAUUAGUAAAUAAUUUUCUCAAUGCAGUUCAAAAGAUUUGAUAAAAAUACGUAAUAAAUAAUUGACAUAUUUUGUUGUUAAGAAAAAUAAAUAUUUCAUAUCAUCACGUGUCGGCACACACAUAUUUUUUAUAACCGUCACGCAUCGACACAGCUCGACACACACCGUAUUGUAUCGUGCCAACAAAUUUCUAACACGAUCUCGUGCCCCGGUACUUAAAUCCUUAGUUUACAGGUGGCACAGCACAACACGAUACGCAUAAUUUGCAGCAUUUUUAUCUAUUUGCAGUCGUUCAACAACGGCUUAGUCACUAGCGGUCAUAAUGCUUCUUUUAAAAGCAUAUUCGGUCUUUUUUUUUCGUCCAACGAUGUGCACUACUAUAAUAACUGAUCCAAACGAAAAAUACAAAAAAGGAAAAAAAAUAAAACAAAUUCGAAAAACUAUAAAAUACUAAAGUGAAUAUUCGAUAAAUCAUAGAUAUAGUACCUGAAGUUUUCUAUAUAUAUAAUUUAACACAGAGUUAAUAAAGGUGGGGACGAAAAGAAAAAAAUAAAAUUACACGAUACUAAAAUGAUAUAUUUUAAAUUAUAGAAUACUAAAGUAAAAAAACGUGAGACUAUAGGAGUGAUAUUUAAAGUUUA
rnacentral:lncRNA from 1 species